GAUACGUGUCCCUCUGCUGGCUGGCCUGGUACCGAACCGAAUUUAACAAAUUAACGAACAACUCGCAAAUAAAAUAAUCCAGAUAAAUACCAAAAUAAUUUUUAAAAUCUUAAAAUAAUUAAAAACUAAUAAAAUAUGAUUUUCAUGAUUUUUGAAUCAUUUUUGAAAUAAAUAGAAAGACCCCACUUUAAUCUAUACGGAAAAUUAUUUAGAGCUGAAGAAUUAUCAAAAUAUCGUUUUAUGAAUUCUAUAAACCUCUAAAAAUAUUUAAUAGAAUUAUAAAGCGAUAAAAAUGAUUUUAUAUGCAAUACACUAUUUUAUAUAAUUAAAUCAGUAUAAAAUCCAUAACAAAUGCAAAUCGAUAACACAACUCAACAAUCCAAUAGAAAUAAAAUACACCGACUCUCGAGAAUAUAAUCACAUAAUAAUCAUUUAGAAUUUUUCAAAAUAAUAUAUGAAACUCAUUUUUUUU
rnacentral:lncRNA from 1 species